AACAGGGGGCUAACGGUCUUGUAUUGGAUGAGUGAAGUAUAAACCCCUUUACGAGUAUCAAUUGGAGGGCAAGUCUGGUGCCAGCAGCCGCGGUAAUUCCAGCUCCAAUAGCGUAUAUUAAAGUUGUUGCAGUUAAAAAGCUCGUAGUUGGAUUUCUGUUGUAUAAUUUAUAAUAUUACCAAGGGAAUUUAUAUAUUAUCAACAUCCUUCCUAUUAUAUUCUAAAUAUAUAGGAAAUUUUACUUUGAGAAAAUUAGAGUGCUUAAAGCAGGCAACUGCCUUGAAUACUCCAGCAUGGAAAAAUAAGUAAGGACUUUUGUCUUUCUUAUUGGGUCUAGGACAAAAGUAAUGGUUAAUAGGGACAGGUGGGGGCAUUCGUAUUUAACAGCCAGAGGUGAAAUUCUUAGAUUUGUUAAAGACGAACUACUGCGAAAGCAUUUGCCAAGGAUGUUUUCAUUAAUCAAGAACGAAAGUUAGGGGAUCGAAGACGAUCAGAUACCGGCGUAGUCUUAACCAUAAACUAUGCCGACUAGAGAUUGGAGGUGUCCUAACCCCCUUUAGCUU
rnacentral:rRNA from 1 species